rnacentral:rRNA from 1 species
AACGAACGCUGGCGGCAGGCCUAACACAUGCAAGUCGAACGGGCGUAGCAAUACGUCAGUGGCAGACGGGUGAGUAACACGUGGGAACCUACCCGAUGGUACGGAAUAACUCAGGGAAACUUGAGCUAAUACCGAAUAAGCCCGAAAGGGGAAAGAUUUAUCGCCAUCGGAAGGGCCCGCGCCGGAUUAGCUUGUUGGUGAGGUAACGGCUUACCAAGGCAACGAUCCGUAGCUGGUCUGAGAGGAUGACCAGCCACACUGGGACUGAGACACGGCCCAGACUCCUACGGGAGGCAGCAGUGGGGAAUCUUGGACAAUGGGCGAAAGCCUGAUCCAGCCAUGCCGCGUGAGUGAAGAAGGCCCUAGGGUUGUAAAGCUCUUUCGGCGGGGACGAUAAUGACGGUACCCGCAGAAGAAGCCCCGGCUAACUCCGUGCCAGCAGCCGCAGUAACAC